rnacentral:rRNA from 1 species
GGCGGACGGGUGAGUAAUACUUAGGAAUCUGCCCAUUAGUGGGGGACAACUCGAGGAAACUCGAGCUAAUACCGCAUACGCCCUACGGGGGAAAGCGGGGGUCUUCGGACCUCGCGCUAAUGGAUGAGCCUAAGUCGGAUUAGCUUGUUGGUGAGGUAAUGGCUCACCAAGGCGACGAUCCGUAGCUGGUCUGAGAGGACGAUCAGCCACACUGGGACUGAGACACGGCCCAG